AUCAGGGUGACAGUCACAGUAAUAUAUCAGGGUGACAGUCACAGUAAUAUAUCAGGGUGACAGUCACAGUAAUAUAUCAGGGUGACAGUCACAGUAAUAUAUCAGGGUGACAGUCACAGUAAUAUAUCAGUGUGACAGUCACAGUCACAGUAAUAUAUCAGAGUGACAGUCACAGUAAUAUAUCAGAGUGACUAUCACAGUAAUAUAUCAGGGUGACAGUCACAGUAAUAUAUCAGAGUGACAGUCACAGUAAUAUAUCAGGGUGACAGUCACAGUAGGAACAUGCGUACAACCCAUAAAGCAACAGUACACCCAUCAUCAAUACUUUAAAAAAUGUAUUUAAUAUUUAUUUAACUAGGCAAGUCAGUUAAGAACGCAUUCUUAUUUACAAUGACGGCCUAGGAACAGUGGGUUAACUGCCUUGUUCAGGGGCAGAACAACAGAUUUUGACCUUGUCAGCUCUGGGAUUUGAUCUAGCAACCUUUCGGUUACUGACCCAAUGCAAGGCUAGCUGCCGCCCCAAUGAACAAUCUUCAGUUUUAAACCGGAAAAUGUACAAUUAUUCAUGUAAUUCUAACACUCAGACUCAUCCUCUGGCUUAAAAACAGAUGUCCCAACUCUCGCAGUAUGGUAGCUCAAUGUGAGGUACACAAAAAGGGUUCCAAAAGGGUUUUACGGCUGUCCCCAUAGGAGUACCCUUUUUGGUUCUAGGUAGAACUCUUUUGGAUUCCAUGCAGACCCCUCUGUGGAAAGGGUUCUUCAUGGAACCCAGAAGGGUUCUACCUGGAAACAAAGGGGGUUCUUUAAAGGGUUCUCUUAUGAAGAAAAAAACACAGCUCAAUCAAAACCGUCUAACCUAUAGCAGACGAUUUGACACACCCAUUCCUUUCUACACACCCACUACUUCCCUUUUGACACACCCACUCGCCCAUACUCCGGUCGCCNNNNNNNNNNCACAGAAAAAUGCAUUAAACAAAACAAUCAAUCACAGUUACAUUCACAGUCAACUGAUUUCCACCUAAUUACAGUGCAGUGGAAUAUUUCAUGUAGGCCUCAAGAAUCAACCUCUGUAAGAAAGUUGUACCCAAAAGGCCAUAGUUAAAACUGACAUUAUCAUUGGUGGAAGUUCAAAGUUCGAUGCAACCCAGCUGAUCGAUUUCUGUAAUACCAAGAAUGGGUAUCUGCAGCCCAAUAUGGCGACCGAAGUAUGGGAGAGUGGGNNNNNNNNNNGUGACAGUCACAGUAAUAUAUCAGUGUGACAGUCACAGUAAUAUAUCAGUGUGACAGUCACAGUAAUAAAUCAGGGUGACAGUCACAGUAAUAUAUCAGGGUGACAGUCACAGUAAUAUAUCAGGGUGACAGUCACAGUAAUAUAUCAGGGUGACAGUCACAGUAAUAUAUCAGGGUGACAGUCACAGUAAUAUAUCAGUGUGACAGUCACAGUCACAGUAAUAUAUCAGAGUGACAGUCACAGUAAUAUA
rnacentral:lncRNA from 13 species